rnacentral:rRNA from 1 species
AGAGGGUGAAACUCCCGUCCGCCUGGUAGAAUGAGUCUUUGUCAACGAGUCGAGUUGUUUGGGAUUGCAGCUCUAAUUUGGUGGUAAAUUCCAUCUAAAGCUAAAUAUUGGUGGGAGACCGAUAGCGUACAAGUACCGUGAGGGGAAAGAUGCAAAGAAACUUUGAAAAGAGAGUUAAGGAGUACCUGAAAUUGCUGAAACGGAAGCGAAGGAAACCAGUGUUUGUGGUUCAUAGUUUCCUUGGCCACUUGUGGUUUGGGCGGCUGUGAGCUUGCGUGGGUUUGGGUUGGUUGAUCCCUUUGGAAGACGCGCAGUCAGAGUUGAUGUCUCUGAGACCAAGGCACACAGGGGGGAUA